CUGCUGCCUCCCGUAGGAGUUUGGGCCGUGUCUCAGUCCCAAUGGUGGCCGUCCACCCUCUCCAGGCCGGCUACUGAUCGUCGCCUUGGUGGGCCGUUACCCCGCCAACAAGCUAAUCAGACGCGGGUCCAUCUUACACCACCGGAGUUUUUCACACAAAUCCAUGCGGCUUCGUGCGCUUAUGCGGUAUUAGCACCUAUUUCUAAGUGUUACUCCCCCAGUGUAAGGCAGGUUACCCACGCGUUACUCACCCGUCCGCCACUAAG
rnacentral:rRNA from 1 species